rnacentral:rRNA from 1 species
GACGAACGCUGGCGGCGUGCUUAACACAUGCAAGUCGAGCGGUAAGGCCCUUUCGGGGGUACACGAGCGGCGAACGGGUGAGUAACACGUGGGUGACCUGCCCUCAGCUCUGGGAUAAGCCUGGGAAACUGGGUCUAAUACUGGAUAUGACUCCAUGACGCAUGUUGUGGGGUGGAAAGCCUUGUGCGGCUGGGGAUGGGCCCGCGGCCUAUCAGCUUGUUGGUGGGGNGAUGGCCUACCAAGGCGACGACGGGUAGCCGGCCUGAGAGGGCGACCGGCCACACUGGGACUGAGACACGGCCCAGACUCCUACGGGAGGCAGCAGUGGGGAAUCUUGCGCAAUGGGCGAAAGCCUGACGCAGCGACGCCGCGUGAGGGAUGACGGCC